rnacentral:rRNA from 1 species
GAUGAACGCUGGCGGCGUGCUUAACACAUGCAAGUCGAACGAAGCAUUUAGAACAGAUUACUUCGGUUUGAAGUUCUUUAUGACUGAGUGGCGGACGGGUGAGUAACGCGUGGGUAACCUGCCUUGUACUGGGGGAUAGCAGCUGGAAACGGCUGGUAAUACCGCAUAAGCGCACAAUGUUGCAUGACAUGGUGUGAAAAACUCCGGUGGUAUAAGAUGGACCCGCGUCUGAUUAGCUAGUUGGUGAGAUAACAGCCCACCAAGGCGACGAUCAGUAGCCGACCUGAGAGGGUGACCGGCCACAUUGGGACUGAGACACGGCCCAGACUCCUACGGGAGGCAGCAGUGGGGAAUAUUGCACAAUGGAGGAAACUCUGAUGCAGCGACGCCGCGUGAGUGAAGAAGUAAUUCGUUAUGUAAAGCUCUAUCAGCAGGGAAGAUAGUGACGGUACCUGACGAAGAAGCUCCGGCUAAAUACGUG